UACGAAGGGGGCUAGCGUUGCUCGGAAUCACUGGGCGUAAAGCGCACGUAGGCGGAUUGUUAAGUCAGGGGUGAAAUCCUGGAGCUCAACUCCAGAACUGCCUUUGAUACUGGCGAUCUCGAGUCCGGGAGAGGUGAGUGGAACUGCGAGUGUAGAGGUGAAGUUCGUAGAUAUUCGCAAGAACACCAGUGGCGAAGGCGGCUCACUGGCCCGGUACUGACGCUGAGGUGCGAAAGCGUGGGGAGCAAACAGG
rnacentral:rRNA from 1 species